GACCAUAUGAUCUAAUGGUAUGAUACUACUUCUUCAUAGUGGGUAUGUGAGUUCAAUUCUCACUAUGGUUA